rnacentral:rRNA from 1 species
AUGGCAGUGGUUGCAGAAAGAGGGCAAAAACGAACGAGAUGCGUUUGUUUGCAACCAAUGGGUCUCAUUCCGGCCACAUGGAGGCGGCCAGCCAGCCACGGGUCUCAAAAUCCAGCACCGAGGAAUGCCGUGGGGGCGUGCCAUACGGCGACCGGCACUGGCACCGGGAUUAUCAUGCCCUCUAGUCUCAAGAUUUUGUUUGCCCCUGACCUGGGACCAAAACCCAAUGAUGAACCACGUUUACAUGUACUACUAGCAUCCAUCUAUCAGUGUCAGCAUCAGGCCCCCCUCUCUCUCCUUUUCAUCAUUCCUCAUCAUCUUGGUUGGCCUACCGAGCUUCGCCGUCACGGAGGCGAUCGAUCAAUCAAUCAAAAAUGGUUUUUCCAUUUUGUUUUCCCGUUCACGGCGUCGUCGGUGCAGAGGAGAUUGGCAGCUGCUCAUGUGGGAUCCCAGGAACAGGCCCCAGAAUAUAGAUACGACGUGUGCCUCGCAACCGACCAGUUCAGCGUCGCCGAAAAGGGAAUUCAGAGAUGCAAAGGGGAAGCUGCUGCUGCCUGCCCACCACCACCUACAUGGAUGGUUGGAAUAGUUUGA